GGCAAGGUGUAGAUAUCAUAAAGGCACCAGAUCCUGUCUGAUCUUGGAAGCUAAACAGGGAAAGUCCUUGGUUAGUCCUUGGAUGGGAGACCACCAAUGAAUACUGAGUGCUGUAGGCU
rnacentral:rRNA from 1 species